UUAAAUUGAAGAGUUUGAUCAUGGCUCAGAUUGAACGCUGGCGGCAGGCCUAACACAUGCAAGUCGAACGGUAACAGGAAGAAGCUUGCUUCUUUGCUGACGAGUGGCGGACGGGUGAGUAAUGUCUGGGAAACUGCCUGAUGGAGGGGGAUAACUACUGGAAACGGUAGCUAAUACCGCAUAACGUCGCAAGACCAAAGAGGGGGACCUUCGGGCCUCUUGCCAUCGGAUGUGCCCAGAUGGGAUUAGCUAGUAGGUGGGGUAACGGCUCACCUAGGCGACGAUCCCUAGCUGGUCUGAGAGGAUGA
rnacentral:rRNA from 1 species